AAAAUACUCCUCGCUGAGCAUUUCACAAGUGCAGUGAUUUCAGUCAGCAACAUACUCGUGCAGAACAUACUGAAAAUGUCAGGAUAGCCAUUCUUAUCAAGGAACAUCAUUCUUAUGCACCAUAGUUCAUCUCUUUUCUUAAUGUACGAAUAAAAAGUCAAAUGAAACAAGGUUCAACUAAUCAUUUUCUUCUUUUCUUUUUUGGGUAAAUUGCCAUAGCUCUUUUCUGAUUUCACAAUUAACUCAACUUGGCAUAAUCUUCAAAUCUGUGAAGACACGAGUAUAUAAACCCACGAUCAAGACAUCCAAUAUUUUGGACCCAUCAGCUCGCGAUCUGCUGCAGUACCUUGAGUGGCAAGCUUCUGAAUGCGUGAAGAAAAUUCCUCAGCCUUCUCAUCAAUCCACAUCAAAGAACUUAGUUGAUUGUUCAAGAUUCGGACAACCACAUCCAAUGGAGUCAUCCUAUCAAUUGUGUCCAGAUCACCACCCUGGCUGGAGUUCAGGG
rnacentral:misc_RNA from 1 species